rnacentral:misc_RNA from 1 species
AAGAUGUCCGGGCAUACUGCU